CUGCUCAAUGAUUAAAUUAAAUAGCUGCAGUAUUCUAACUGUACAAAGGUAGCAUAAUAAUUUGCCCUAUAAUUAAGGGAUAGAAUGAAAGAUUUAAUGAAAAAAUUAUUGUCUCAAUUUUUUUUAUAAAAAUUAAUUUUUAAGUUAAAAAGCUUAAAUAACAUUAAAAGACGAGAAGACCCUAUAGAAUUUUAUAUAUAAAAUACUUAUUCUAUUUAAUCUUUAUAAAAUAAAUAUUUUAUUUAUUUAAUUGGGAGGAUUCUUAAAUUUAUUAAACUUUAAUUAAUUAAAAAAUUAAUUAAUUUAAAAUAAAUGAUCCAAAUAUUUUGAUUUAUAAAAUAAAUUACCUUAGGGAUAACAGCAUAAUUUUUUUAAAAAGUUCUUAUUUAAAAAAAAGUUUAUGACCUCGAUGUUGAAUUAAGAUUUAAUAUAAAUGAAAAUAUUUAUAAUUU
rnacentral:rRNA from 1 species